rnacentral:pre_miRNA from 1 species
UGUGCACCGGUGGGGUCCCUCAGCCUGGCCUGCACCCUCUCACAAUCCAGGACCCCUUGGGGGAUGUCAGAGAGCCAGUUUCGGCCUGAUCCCUGCAGGUCAGGCUGAGGGACCCCACUGGUGCACG